UGAGGACUGACUCCCAAAUGGAUAUGCUUUAACCUUUAAGCUUCGUUGAAUUACUAAAAAAUUUUUAACUUCAAUUGUUUUUUAUUACAGAAACAAGAGAUUCAUUGUGGAGAGCGAGGAAAAUAAAGAGACGUUGGAAGGAAAAAUGCAAAUAAUCUCUCCACUAAAGUCACUUGGGGUUGGUUACCUAGGAAAUGGCUGGCAGACUGGAGCUUUUAAAUUGAUCACCAGACUUAUGGCAGGAAGGUGAGUCACAUGAUGUGAAUUUAGUUGCUUCUAAGUGGAAGACUAGAAAUUGCUGAGCAUUAAAAAAGAAUCACCGGAACUUUCCCCCACUACUCCUUAAUUUUAAAGAUGAAACAAAUGAUCUCCUUUCAGGAAGUCGCAGAGAUCUAAAUUUAUCUCCAGAG
rnacentral:lncRNA from 1 species